CUUCCGUUAAAUAGACACACAAAUUGCAUUUAUAUCAUAAAAAGGGGCAAUUUUGUCAAGCCGCUACUCUUACCAAAAGUGGCAUCAAGUUGUUAACUUUGACUGAGUAAGAAUUUCUUUAGAUGAAUGAUUAAUUCUUUUCUUUAGAUGAAUGAUUCAUUCUUUCAAAUAACCAUUAUGAACGGUACCAUUUUCACUAUGUAUUGAACCAUUUCCAUUGCACAUAUUUAACUAUCACUAAAUCCAAAAUCUAAAAUUUCAUAGACAUUCCCAAGCAAACAUAUGACAAAAAUACGUAUUGGAAAUGUCCUUUUUUGCAUAACCAAUGUCCAAAUAAAUAGAAUCGAGAGCUUUCUCCUAAUCCUAGCUAGCUCUUCUCAUCAAAUCAAUCAAUAACUUCGUAAAACAUCGUAAAGAUUUAAAUGAAUAUUCACACAGCCUCAAAAACCAUGGUGUACUCAACUUGUGACUAAAUUGCAUCUUGAUUUGCAUAGAAAAACCUAUCAUCCAAAUUAUAUUUUUCGUUUUAUUCAUCUCUCCAUUCAAUAACAGGAACAUAGCAUCCUUCUUUAAUUGGAUCAGACCUCCCAACAUGCUCAUUUAGAGGUGGAUUUAAAUCGUCAGAUGAAAGUGCUCGUUUCUCUUUUGAAGGUACAAGAUAUAUCUCCUCAACCCUUGCUUCAUUUCUAUCCCUCAGCAUAUUUU
rnacentral:lncRNA from 1 species